AGAGUAUAAUUUUGCGUGGAUGUGUACAGCACGCAAAAGAAGGGAUCAGAAAAAACGCAAGUCUUAGGAAUGGAGCUCUGCAAGGAAGGGGAAGGGGGAGAGGAGGGAAGAGAUGAGUGAGGAUGCGAGGAGCAGGCCGUGAUAUGAGACUGAGCGCCGUCGUCUUGACGCCGUGCUGUUCCUCCCCCUCUUCUCCCCAUGUCGUCAUGGCUAGCUGCAAGAAAUCCCAACCCAAGAGUAACAACCAUAAGAACCCUGAUCAAGCUCCUCCAAGGAUCACAUCCAAUGUAAAGCAAAACUUACAAAUUUUAAGGUUAUGGAAGGAUCUUCAAAGUCAUAAAUCAAGUACCCCUAGGCCGGCCACUAGCUAUCGGAAAAAGAAGGUUGUUAAAGAAGAGCUUCCACAAGACACAGAGCUAUAUAAAGACCCAACUACAAACCUAUACUAUACAAACCAGGGCUUGGACACUUCUGUUCCGGUUCUUCUUGUGGAUGGAUACAAUGUAUGUGGCUAUUGGGCAAAGCUGAAGAAACAUUUCAUGAAGGGAAGACUAGAUAUUGCUCGCCAGAAGCUGAUUGAUGAGCUGAUAGCUUUUAGUGUAAUAAAAGAAGUAAAGGUUGUCGUGGUGUUUGAUGCAAUGACGUCUGGACUUCCAACUCAUAAGGAAAGUUUUGCAGGGAUUGAUGUAAUAUUCUCAAGUGACACAUGCGCUGAUGCUUGGAUUGAAAAGGAGGUUGUUGCUUUGAAGGUUGAUGGCUGCCCAAAAGUCUGGGUUGUGACAUCUGAUGUAUGCCAACAGCAAGCAGCUCAUGGGGCAGGUGCUUUUGUUUGGAGCUGCAAAGCAUUGGUGUCAGAGAUAAAGGCUUCACAAAGGGAGUUCGAGCAAAUACUGAAUGAACAUAGUUACACUGAGGACAUCUGACAUUUUGGCCUGUUGGAGGCCUCCUUCACGCUCUACAACAUACAGAUUCAUUUUCUUUAGCCUCUUCAUCCACUUUGAUCGGAUUCCACGUGACCUUGUCGGACUCGGAUCUUAGAUGGAAUCCACCUGGAUCCGAUCCGCACACGCCCUGGUAGCCACGGAACCGAGCACACGACAAAACGGAUGCCCCGUCAAACUCGGUCAACAUUCAACGGUCAAACCCUCGGUCAACGUCAAGAUCGCCCAUGUCCGGAUUUAUUGGAUCCACUGGCCCAUGUGAUCGCUCCCCCCAUCUCUCUUCCGCCAUUUACACCGUGGGCGGCGGCUCCACCCACUCCACCGCUGGUUGUUGCCUCCGUCGACCACCGGGCUGUCAACAGCGGCACCACCUCACCGUACGUAGUAAUGCAGACGAAGUACCACCGCAUGAAAUGAAUGCUUCAGCGACUCCGACUCGUCUCAGUCUUCUUCCCAAGUGUGAGGUUGCGGCAGUUGCAGAAGCUGUAAUGGCGUUGCUUCACACACAUCCGUGCACUAUAAUAGAAGUGCAUUGUUAUGUGUUAACGUACGCAAUGCAUAUGCAUUGAAAGACAGCCCUUCUCUUCUGGUCAUGCAAUUAGGGCACCAAAUAUUUCUCAUGCUCUGCUAAGAGGAUGCUGAACUAUGAACUGAGAUUUAAUGAUGGUUUUACGUCUUACAUUGAUUUCUUUGCAUGUAAUUCUACUUGUAGUUUAGAUAAUGCAUGAAAGUUGUGUAUUCAAUGAUUAGUUUGUAAACUCAUUACUGUUAACUAUAGCAGUCAACAUAAGCUUUUCUCA